GGCCGGUAAGCCGCAUUCAAUUGCUGGCACGUUGUUACGUUGUUCGGUUGUGUUGUACGUGACAGAGCGUUGGUCCGACGACGUUAGAUCACUUGCACGAUUUAUUUUGUCUGUACCAACACUGUCAGUGAGCGCAUAACAUACUCGGGUUGUUGAUCGGCAUUAUUCCUGAUACGAGAACGCGGAGUUAGUCUGUAAGACCGAUGGAGGAAAAUGGGCUGAACCAGUUACAUCCACGGCAUAGCUGAGCGAGUGAUCUAUUCAGUUAGUCCGAGAGCAUCCUGAGUGUGUGCCACUCACCUGCUGAUCUCACCACUGCACCAUGAAGGGUCACGUGGUAGUUGCAGCCAUUGCUGUCAUGAUCGUUCUAGCGGAACGGGUGUCGGCCCAGAACACAACGCUAGUGCUGUCUCUAGAGGAUGACCACAGGGAGUACCUUGAUGAGCUGGAGCUCGAGCUGGAACAGCAACCAACAGCUGAUCGCCGUGCGUCAGCUGGUCGGUUUGAUUUUGGGUGGUCCCCUUGGUCCGACUGGAGCACUUGUUCCCGUACCUGCGAUGGGGGUGCCUCAUAUCAACUGCGACGCUGUAACUCGCCCUCGGGCUGCAAAGGCGAAGCCGUGCGGUACAAGAUAUGCAACAUGCAGCCAUGCCCGGAGUCAGGCGAUUUCAGGGAGCAGCAGUGCGCGGCCUACAACGAUGUGCCGUACGAGGGUGCCCUGUUGCUUUGGACCGCACAUCACGAUGACAGCGAGCCCUGUGCGCUGACUUGCCGCGGGCGGCCUGCAGGUGAACCUCUGACACAGGAGGAACCCAUAGUGGUGCAACUGGCUCCUAAGGUUCAAGAUGGAACGCGCUGUCGUCCAGGCAGUCUGGACAUGUGCAUUAAUGGCAAGUGCCAGCGUGUGGGCUGUGACUUGAAGAUAGGUUCCAUGAAGAAAGUGGACGGGUGCGGCGUGUGUGGUGGUGAUGGUUUGUCCUGCGCGCAGCCAUUGUACCACUGGGAGGAAGCUGCCAUGUCACUCUGCUCUGUGACGUGCGGAGGAGGGUACAAAAUGUCGCGACCGGUUUGUAUAAACCGAGUGACGGGCGCAGAGGUUGAUGAGCCGCUGUGCAACGCUUCCCAGAGACCUGAGCGCAAAGUUGUAGAGUGCAACUCUCAUCGCUGUCCAGCCAAGUGGGUAGUGGACGACUGGGGUCCAUGCUCUGUUACCUGUGCAGGUGGCUCCAGAUUUCGACAUGUGCACUGUGCAGAGGAGGGCAACGGGACCAGGUCGAAGGUUCCCGAGCACCUCUGCCAUGGACACAAGCCACGCUACCAGGAACCUUGCAACCUCAUGGACUGCCCAGCAUGGAAUACGGGAGAGUGGUCAGGGUGUUCCGUAUCAUGUGGAGAGGGCGAACAGACGCGCAGUGUCCAGUGCAGGGAUGCCCGCAACGCUCCGAGCGCUCUGUGCGACCCUGUGUCCAAGCCCAUAAACUUGCAGCUCUGCAGGACCGGCAUCCCCUGCCCUAUCUACCGCACUGGCUUCUAUGAUUCAGUAGUGGACGGACAGGAGCACCUGCCCGGUUUGGACCACACGCAACCCCUGGUGCAGCCGUACCCACCUCCACCACCUGGGCCUUCCCAGCGCGCUACGUAUGAAGGCCAGGUCUCCAGCGAGCUUGUCGUACCAUCGGAAUCGACCUUCAUUCCUGAGAAGUGGGGACCCUGCAGCGUAACCUGUGGACAGGGUUUCCGGAAACGUGAGGUUCAGUGCAAGAUCUUUCUGGAGUUCUCGAAGACUAUUGCUCGCCUUCCUGAUUCUCAGUGCCAAGGCCCGAAGCCAUCCGAAGUUGAGCGCUGUGUGCUGGAGCCCUGCUCAGCUGAAAGAUUGGAGCAAGAAGGCGGUUUCUACAGAGACUCUGGUACGUACAGACAUGACCAGAUCAGGGUGGCAGCACCGGCAGGAAAGACAUACACGUGGAAACAACAGGGCUUCACCCACUGCAGUGCUUCCUGUCUCGGUGGGGUCCAGGAGUCGCUUAUCCUGUGCGUUCGGGAUGGCGACCAGAAGCCAGUAUCACCAUUCCUGUGCCCCCAGGAUGCGCGUCCUGAAGCCCUUAUCCGUACAUGUAACGACCACCCAUGCCCGCCACGAUGGAAUUACUCUGACUUUCAGCCAUGCACAAAGUCCUGUGGUGUGGGCUUCCAGACCCGAGAAGUGAACUGCAUUCAUGAAGUGACACGUGGCGGAACCAACACGGUCAUUGUGCCCAACAACAUGUGCCCACAGCCACCACCCAUUGACCGCCAGUACUGUAAUGUGUUGGACUGCCCCAUCCGCUGGCACACCACUGAGUGGACAAAGUGCUCCAAGAGCUGUGGCGGAGGGAUAAAGACACGCCUGGUAGAGUGCAAGCAAGUGAUGGCUCUAAACCACUUGGUAUUGCGCUCAGCAUCCAAAUGCCCUUCCAGUAAGCCUCCAGACAAGAAGCCCUGCAACACGCGUUCCUGUGUCAUGGAGUCAGACAGGCCACAUAUAGCCACCUCCAACCACUCUUAUGUACAGCAGAACCCCUCCAAGAAAAAGGUGACACUCAAGAUCGGUGGGCAAGCCACUGUCUUCUGGGGCACACAGAUCAAGAUCAAGUGUCCAGUGAAACGGUUUAACAGGACUAAAAUACAGUGGGCAAAAGAUCACAAUUUUAUAAGCAAUUCAAAGAAAUAUAAGAUUUCAAAGAAAGGUGCACUUCGCAUUCAAGAUGUAACACAUAGGGAUGGAGGAAUUUACACUUGCCUUGCUGGACAGUCUUCUGCUGACCUUGUUCUAACAGUGAAGGCAAGACCUGGAGAGUUCCCUAGUUCAGAGGAGAUCGAUCGGCAGGCUGCAAACCGCAUGCUGGAUAGGACAAGCCUUGAGGAUGCAAACAUGGAAAGCAAUGGACAAAGCCACGAUGGACGUCGUCCCUUUCUGCCAGGAGUCGAUGAUCUGAGCCAUGAGCUGCGACCAGAAAGCAACCCCUUGUCUUCCCUGCCCAAGAAGCCAUCAGGAAGAGUGCAUACUGCACCCUCUUCCACUCCAGUACCGGAGGUAAUUGAGAAUCGGGUGGACUUCUGGCCACUGCCAGGCACACCACUUGUGAAGGACCAGGCAGAGGUAUUGGACCCUUCUAACAAGCCUACUGCUGCCCAUGGUGUGGCAGUUGGUGGAUCCCAGUUUGAGGGUCCCGUGUCCCUUUCGCCCCCUCGUUUGUCAGACUCUCUCGGAGAACCCCCCUCCAGCUCAGGAGGCUCACGUCCCAUGCCCCACUUCCAGAAGCUUCUUGCUAACCUGCAGAAUCUUUGGCUGUUUCAGACAUUUGGUAACUCCAGGGGCCAUCGGAUGGUCACUGAAACAAUGGAGCAGGGGCACCAUCAUGACCAUGAGGAGGAUGAGGAAGCCACAGAGGAUGCCCUAGGUUCCACAGUCAUUUUGGGGAAAGGUAGACCAGAAAAUCUCAAGUUUGACUGGAUGAUAACAGACUGGUCUAAAUGUUCACAGUCAUGUGGUGGAAGUGGCUUCCAGGUCAGGGCUGCACAUUGUAUGGUGCGCCUGCACAACACGACGCAAAAUGUAGACAGCAAUCUGUGCGAAGAUGCUGGCUUGCCAACACCCCCUACGAUACAGAAGUGUGGCACAGAAGACUGCCCUCACUGGGUGCCCAGUGACUGGUCUCCUUGUGAACAGUCUCGCUGUUUUACCUGGAAUACAGCAAUGCAGCGACGUGAUGUAGAAUGUCAACUGAACAAUGGCACAGGGGUGAACUUGCAGCAGUGUAGUGAGGUGGAGAAACCUCCACAACGUCAGGAGUGCUACAAUGACAAGUGUAAGGGCACAUGGAAAGUUGGAGAAUGGUCUGAGUGUGCAGCCCCAUGUGAGACGCAAGGCAUCAAGUACCGAAUCCUGCAGUGUGUAUGGUACGGCACGAAGAAGCCAGCGGGCAACGCCUGCAGGGACCAGCCACGGCCCUCCGUCAUGAAGGUGUGCAAGGGGCUGCCAUGUGCCCAUUUGUCCGACUGUAAAGAUCAGUCAAAAUACUGCCAAAACGUGAAGGCAAUGAACAUGUGCAGAGUGCAUCGGUAUCAGCAUCAGUGUUGCCAAUCUUGUCGGAAGAAGGGCUAGGUGCUACAGACUUCACACAAUAGCAAUACAAGAAGGGGUGCUGUGUUAUCAGUGAGCAUUCCUGCUGGGAACAUAUAUCCACAUACUAAAGUGAAGAAGGGAGUGGCAGAUACCAGGUUUGUUGUGCCCUUCUCUGCUAGUGCCCAUGAACUUUACACGAUAGUAAUGUAAGUAUAAGUCAAAGGGUGACAAAUGAGAGAGAAAUGCAGGCAUUUUGGAGAAAAUGUUGAAAUGCAUAUUGUACAGUACUAGGACCUGUCCAGUAGACUGCAUAUAUUUGUAUUCUGCAGAUAAUUCUUUGCUUUUGUCAUUUGGUGUAUAUGCAAAUCUGCAUUGGACAAGGGUUUACUGUACUAUUCUGAAGAAAUAUUUUCCACCAGAGACGCAUUCCAUUACCAUGUUUAAUCUGUGGCAUAUAUCUUGUAUAAUGAAGAGUUAUACUUUGCUUUGUAGGUACUGUAAUUUAAUUGCAAGAAGAAGUUCAAAUGUAAAUGUUUAUUUCCUUUAAUACUUUUAGACCUAUAUUAACGUGAUUUGUAAUAUUUUCCAUAAAUGUGUUAUUAUAUUUUCAUGUAUUACAGGAGUUGGAUGAUAUUAAUAGUACAUAAUGCACUUAAAUUAAAACAUGACUGCUAUUCUUCAUAUUCAGUUUUAGUUAAGCUGUUUUUUAAGUACAAAAUUGUCUUUGAAAUUUUUAAAGCUCAUAUCUUCCACAUGUUGCCAACAUAAUGUCAUAAGAUAUUUUUGUCUGCUAGCUCAUAUUAUACUUGCACUGUUUAUUCAAACAAGAUGUGCACUAGUGUUAAGAAAGCUCCUGUUCUGAAAAACUUGUUUACUGGAAAGAAUGAAAUUACAAAAUAUAUGGCAGAAAAUGUCCCAAAUACCUACUAGAGAUAGAAUUAUCUUAACAUUUCUGCCUCUGGGCAUACAAACCUGGUAUGGUGAGGUCCAUGAAAUUGCUAUGGAAGCAUUAUGUUAACAUCAACAUUAUCAUCAUUUGCAUCUCCCAAAUGUGAUGUCUUCUUUACUGAUAGAUGUAGUACUAUUUAAUUGGGAACCAGUUUAAACCAUAAAUAAGUUCCUAAUAUUUGAAUCUGAAAUGAUACAAAGCCCUAGAACCAGUUAAUUAAUUAGGUAUAUCAAUUUUUCUUGAACAUCAUAUUCCUCAUAGAUACUUCACUUAUCAGAAGGCAAUCUAAAUGUAAUUUUACAAUUUUAAGGAGCAUGACACCAUGUAGUCUGGAAUAUGAUGAUGAAGUUUAGGAAAGUACUUCUGUCUCCAUCUUCAUUUCUUCCACCUUAAGAUUGAGGCAGCAGAAUCCUCCAAAACAAUGGUAACCAUAUGUCACACUGCAUGGCACCACUUCUCAGGAGACCACGAUCUUCAUAUACACUCUUCUGUGAACCUCAUAUCUUAUAUGCUCUAAACGUAUUUAUGCUGAACUUCAUGUGGUCAAAAAUUCAUCAACAUACACGCCAGUCAGCCAUUAUUAAUAAGAUGUACAUAAAAUGUUAAUCUUUUUUUAAAGAAAGUAGUAAAUGUAUUUGGUACACUGAAAGCCCCUGAUUCACAUAGGUUGUGACCCACCUGACACUGAACACUCACUGUACUAGUCACUGGUACUUGUCUUCAUUCCUAUUUAUAUGAGUUCAUAGUGGAACAAAUCAGUAUUAAGGCACUGCCCAGCUCAACAAUGCGACCACGUACAGUGUCAUUAUUUUACAUUAUGACCUCAACUGUAUGGUUUAAGUUACCGGUUUAUAUAUGCCUUAGAAUAACUACUGUUAUAAGAUGCCAUGUUCACAUAUGUUUGUGGCUGUUUGUCGUUUGUUUUUUGUUACUAUGGUUCUCCUUUAUUUACAACAGUAUUAGCAGUCAUCAGCACUAGUUUCCAGUUUUUCUUCCUCAGUGGCAAACAAAUUUUGACCCAUAGACCUGUCAUACAUUGUCAUUCUGUAUAUUUGUUCGAUCACUUCUAUUAGAAGGAGGUCUCUGAUCCCCUCAUGGCAAAGUAACAUAAAAUAUGGAAGGCAUUCAUUGAAGCUAAACUAUGUAAUAGAUUUGAGGUGGGACAUAUUUCUAACGUACAACUCUUCUAUGGGAAAACUUAAAAUCUUAAAAAUAUUAGGGUUGGAACUUAAACAUGGCUUUGUUCAAGGUGCUAUCUUGGUAGGUAUUUGUUGGGAGGUGACAAGGGAAACCAAUAAGUUCAUUGUAGUCAGUGUUUCAUCCAAUAUUCGAACAGGGCACCUCCCAAAAACAAUUCAGAAGUGUUGCUGCUUGAGCCAGCUUUCUGAUGGAAGAGAUUGCAGUUUGUUUUGGUCACAUAAAUACUUAGUGUUUACUAUUUAACUACCUGAAAAUAUUAAAUUAUUUCUGAUGAACUAAAAAAUGUUUAUACAUGAAAAUAUUUGAAUUGCACUACACAUAUGCCCAUGUAUGUGCUCACACACACAAACAAGUGAAUAGACUCACUAUGAACACAUUACAAUAUAUGGUAAUAUUCUAUAAUCUCUUCGUUUCAGCAUCUCAUUUAAUCUUAUAUACUGGCUAAUACAGUACAGUUAUUAACUUAUAUUCAUGCUAAAUCUAUAUUUGAAGUCACAGUUAUUUUGUUUAUUAAUUUCAUAUUGGAAUAUAAAUUAACCUUUGAUGCACCAUAAUUAUCUAAUAGUGAUUUUGUAAACAAAGCUAAAGUUAUUACAGUUCUACUCUAAUUUAAAUGAUAAUCAUGUUCCUAGAAAAAAAAACACAUUACAUUAAAAUGCUUUUGGAAAUGGUAAUUGAGACCUAGGAAGUGGGUAUAUGUGAGGAUGCAGAACAUAGAGAUAUUUCUAAGAAUGGAAACUACAUAAAAGUCAAAGAUUAUUAAAUUAAGGUAUACUUGUAUAGAAAUUUUACACCAUUGUUGAUUGUAAGCUUCUGGCAGAAAAUCUAUAGAACCAAACUUUUAACUAGAAGCAAGACCCACCAUUGCAAAAUGAGGUGAUUCAGGUCCUUGAAGCCUGCAAUUAUUGAUACUGUAUUUUGUGAUUGCUGUUACAUGUAAAAAUAAAUGUGUUCAAAGAAACAAAUUUCCUCAAGUUUUAGACCUUUAUGAGAUAAAAGAUUGGUCACCGUGAAUAUGCUUUGAUAGGGACAAACUUUGACAAUCAUCAAGAGAACAAGCUGUAUGCUUCAAACUGUAGACAUGGAACAACUAGGACACUUGUUAUUAGCCACUGAAUCAUCUAUGCAUUGUUACGAAAGCUAGUUAUAAUUCUUAAAAUUUCAAUUAGUGAACAGUCAAUGAUUUGACUAUGUAACAAAGUUACCUCAAAAUUGUCUUUUAGUUUCAUGCCUACAUUAUGCAGCAUAAUGACACAAUUGGUCACAGGUUGUCAUAACAAGUCUCCGUCCCACAUAAAACUACUACCACAACUUUGUGAACAUGGCAUGACUGUGAUGCAAUAAACAUCCUAUAACACUCCCUUUCAUGUGUAAAAGCGAUUCAGAUGUUGUGUUAUAAGGCAUUGUUGUUAAUUUCUUGGGCACUUCUGUGGAGUGUGUUAUAUAUUCAUCAUGUGUAUGUUCUGUACAUCUGAAACUGAUCUUGUUGAUAUAAUGAUAUCAUGUUUAUUUUAAAUAAAUCAUGAAUAUAUCUGAUAAUCCGCUUGAUCACUAUGUACACCAAGAUAAUGAAAUCAUUUGAAUUCAACUUUUUCAGCAAGAAUCAUUUCUUAAUUCAGAGUCAUGCAGAAACAUCCCAGUGGUACAGUGAACUUGUACAACUACUUCGUUUUUUCACUUCGACUUCAAGAUAAGAAAAAUCUGAUAAACUACUUCUAGACUUUAUAGAUUUGGCAACUUAAGGCUUGUAGUUUUAUAAACUAUGCAUUUAAAAAUAUGUAAUUAAAUAAACUAAGGUACAAAAUU